UACGAAGGGGGCUAGCGUUGUUCGGAAUCACUGGGCGUAAAGGGCGCGUAGGCGGCCGAUCAAGUCGGGGGUGAAAGCCUGUGGCUCAACCACAGAAUUGCCUUCGAUACUGUUUGGCUUGAGACCGGAAGAGGUUAGUGGAACUGCGAGUGUAGAGGUGAAAUUCGUAGAUAUUCGCAAGAACACCAGUGGCGAAGGCGGCUGACUGGUCCGGUUCUGACGCUGAGGCGCGAAAGCGUGGGGAGCAACAGG
rnacentral:rRNA from 1 species